rnacentral:rRNA from 1 species
AGUGAACGCUGGCGGUAGGCCUAACACAUGCAAGUCGAACGGCAGCACAGUAAGAGCUUGCUCUUACGGGUGGCGAGUGGCGGACGGGUGAGGAAUACAUCGGAAUCUACUUUUUCGUGGGGGAUAACGUAGGGAAACUUACGCUAAUACCGCAUACGACCUACGGGUGAAAGCAGGGGAUCUUCGGACCUUGCGCGAUUGAAUGAGCCGAUGUCGGAGUAGCUAGUUGGCGGGGUAAAGGCCCACCAAGGCGACGAUCCGUAGCUGGUCUGAGAGGAUGAUCAGCCACACUGGAACUGAGACACGGUCCAGACUCCUACGGGAGGCAGCAGUGGGGAAUAUUGGACAAAGGGCGCAAGCCUGAUCCAGCCAUACCGCGUGGGUGAAGAAGGCCUUCGGGUUGUAAAGCCCUUUUGUUGGGAAAGAAAAGCAGCAGGUUAAUACCCCGCUGUUCUGACGGUACCCAAAGAAUAAGCACCGGCUAACUUCGUG